rnacentral:rRNA from 1 species
UUGAUCCUGGCUCAGAAUCAACGCUGGCGGCGUGCCUAACACAUGCAAGUCGAACGCGAGGACCCCGCAAGGGGUUAGUAGAGUGGCGAACGGGUGAGUUACACGUGGGUGACCUACCUUCGAAUGGGGGAUAACGUCCCGAAAGGGACUCUAAUACCGCAUAACAUCCUGCUUUUGAACAGGUGGAGAUCAAAGCCGGUGAUCGCAAGACCUGGCGUUUGAAGAGGGGCCCGCGUCUGAUUAGCUAGUUGGUGAGGUAACGGCCCACCAAGGCGACGAUCAGUAUCCGGCCUGAGAGGUCGGACGGACACACUGGGACUGAGACACGGCCCAGACUCCUACGGGAGGCUGCAGUGGGGAAUUGUUCGCAAUGGGCGCAAGCCUGACGACGCAACGCCGUGUGGAGGAUGAAGGUCUUCGGAUUGUAAACUCCUGUUGCUCGGGACGAAUAGCUUCGGCCUAACACGUCGAAGUCUGACGGUACCGGGUGAGGAAGCCCUGGCUAACUCUGUGCCAGCAGCCGCGGUAAU